CAUUGAGCGCCUGCUGAAUGCUGACUCUGUGGAGCCAAUCGGGACACACUGCUACAGCUUGUGGAGCACAGGCUUCUGGCGAACAGGAGGAUAAUUUCAGAGAGUGCCACGUGCUGAGCAGAGGGGGAGGGUGGAUCUGAGAGAUCUGGAGGAAGAAUAUUCGGAUUGCAGUGGCGGCAAGUGCAAAGGCCCUGAGGCGGGCACACGGUUAAAGUGCUGGAGGCAGAGCGAGGAGGGCAGCGUGACGAGCCGGCAAGAAAGGAGCAGAGGAGCCGGGCCAUUCCCGGCCCGCGAGGUCGUGGUCGUUGUCCGCGGGAGCUCGGAGUCGGCUCCGCUGGUACGGCAGGGAGCUUGCCUGGAGGAGGAGCCAUCCGUCCCCUCACUUCCUCCCCUCCGGCCCUUGCAUUCUGCAGACCCUACUUCACAGGCCCACCUCCUGGCCUUUGCACUAGCCCUUCCUGCCGCCUGCAGCGCGCUUUCUCUGGUUACUAGCCUGGUCAGUUCUGGUCUCCUCCUUCGGCCUUUGGCCGCAGUAUUCCUUCUUCUCCCCACCCCCACUUCUCUUCCUCCUCUCUCUCUCUUCCCUCUUCCCCUCCCCUUCUUCUCCUCCUCCGGCUCUCCCUCCCCUUUCCUCCUCGCCUUCCCUGGCCAUCUCCUCCAGAUUACUGGUUCUGCACUAGCCUUGGUUGGAUUUGUCACUGUUGUGAUAAAAUAAUGCCUAAGUCAUCUGUUGGCAGCCCUCGCCUCCCUCUGAAUCUGCCCUCCCUGCAGACACAGCGGCACGGGUUCAUGA
rnacentral:lncRNA from 1 species